AGAGCAGCCGACCCCGCAUCGGCAAAGGCAUCGUAAAGCCAUACAAGUACGUCCGCAUCCCAUCAAGAUGAAGUUGUGCGUGGUUGUCUUCGUUCUUGCCACUCUACUAUCGGUUGCCUUCUCCGAAUGCCCGGGAGAGCUGAAAUUCCUUGCGAUUAUGGGAUGUGCGCUCGAAGCGGAGGAAGAUCCUAAGCUCCAAGCCGCCUUCAGGGACAAGGAUUUAUCAAACCCUGCUUUCGUUAAGGCAACAUGCUGGUAUGCACAUGAUCUCGAUAUAUACAUAC